CCCGCCCAAGCCAAUCUAACAUUUGAACUGCAUAAUUCAUUGUGACUGCUAAUAUAAGAGAAGUUUAUAGCAACUUAGCGCUAGUUUGCAGUACAGAACAAUAUAUACCUCUAUAUGCUCUGUUGUAUGGCAAGCAGAAAAGUUAUUCCUGCUGUUAAAGUUUAUUUGUGUGUAAAGUAACAGCCAGCAGCUAUAAUAUAGCCAGCUAAGCACAAGACAUUACAGGGUUAAUUUGAGUACUCCAGACACCUGACAGUCUAGUCCAAUCAGAACCCAGCCUCACUCUGAGAUCUUCUAGAAUCUAGCCAGACAUGCCAGCAGCCAUCUUAGAGACAGAAUCUUCAGAGAGCAUGCCAGAGUAAAGAAACUGCCCUUAAGAUUCUAUGAGGCGAAAAUAGGUGAACUAUCUUUGUUUAUGUGUACUGAUUAAUGCUGCUAAUGACAAUGUUAGUGAUUAUAUGUUAGAAUAUAUACUGAAUGCUCAUUUUGUAUGUUUGUCCCUAGUUCUACCACAUUCUACACAUUCUACGUGUACUUACUGCACUUAUAUCGCACCAAUAUUGCUAAAACUCAUCAUCUUUGUUCCUGAUUCCCUAUCCUGAUGAUGUUACCAAUAAAUAAAGUUAUUUUUGUACCAGUGGUAUGUUCUUAAAGUCUUUCAAGGAUCCGAGGACAGUUACAGUAGAACUAUUACCCUCUGAGGAGGCGAGAAGACGCACCUCAUCUGAGCUAGAGCAGAAGCCAUAUCAAGUGUGCCUCAGAGUGUAAUUGCAAGCCCUUAAAGAGACGGUGCGCAAAAAAUAAAAUAAAAGUUAAACAGCCCUGUAAAGCUAACCUGCCUUUUCUGUGGCAAUAGAGUUGACAAAAUACCACAGAAGAAGCACAAAUAGAUCCCAGUAUUGCACCCAAGUAGAUGUAUGCCUUUCCUGCGGCCUUCAGAGUCAGAGCAUUGCCACAGUGAGAGUGCACAUAUCGACAAACGUGUUACCGCCCAGAGUGAAACAACCACGUGCUGCAAUUCACCCAGAGACAUCGCACACAAGCAGAGCAACAAUCCUGACAGCUGCAUCUCUGCAAGGAAAGACACAGACCGUCAGCAUCCUGUAAGUAACUGCAAGCAAGCCAAAGUCCCUCACCUUGCAUCUACUUCUGCAAAGACUGAUCCUGAGUGAUUCCUAACUUCUAUAGAGAGACACUUAUUUUGAAUCAGCAAGCCAAGUCACUGUAUCCUGCUCUUCACAUUAAGGUCAGAGUUUCCUGUUUAUUCCUUAUUGAUGGUUAUGUGCUGACCUUGGCACAUUAAGAGACACUGAAUAAAAGGUAAUAAGAACUUUGAGAGAAUCCAGAGAUAUUUGCAUUAUAAGGACUUUAUGUGAAUUUGAAUAAAGUUAUUUAUUCCUUUGAUAUUUAACUCUUUCAAGUCAAAAUGUCUGUUUAUAGUGAUUCAAUGCCAUUGUUAGAGGGUGAAGCGUUCAAUAGUGAGAGAUAUUCCCUACAACAGAAGGUAUUAGAGUUGAGGGAAACCUUAAAGUCAGAGACAGAUCCUGAAGCGCUAGAAAGGAUAAAUUGUGACAUAAAAAAGUACCUGUCUAAGAUAGAGAAUUUAGAAGCUGAGCUUAGGGAGUCUCAAGCAGUCUCAGAACAGAUAAGCAAGUUGAGACAGUCAUCUCGUGAGAGGAGACCUACCCCAAAAAUGCUAGAAUAUAUGCAACAAGAGGCUGCACAAAGAGAAAGGAAAUUCAACCAAAUGUACAUAAAAUGGAAAACGCAUACCAAUGAAGUUCGCAUGAAGCUAAAACAAGAGUGUGCAGAGGAUGAAUUAUCCAACAUGAUGGAUGCUGUAGAGAAGAAUGAGUUAGAUAUGAAGACAAUAUAUUAUGAGCUAAGGUCAUACACAGCACCCUCCCAGGACAUUAAGAGGAAGAUCGACACAUGCACUGCAAUAACAGCAGAUUUAUUAGGGCUUAUGAGAAUACGAUCAAUUGAAACCGACUUUGAUGUAGAGACAGAGAGGACAAGGCUACUAGAGCUUUAUAAAAGGGAUUAUGCAAAGUCUGUAUAUGGAUCUACAGUUUCAAGAGUAGCAUCUUCUAGCAAACAUUCUAGCCACUCAUCUAAGUGCACAAGUAUCUCAGCCAAAAGAGUAGAAGCAUCUGCACAACUUGCCGCUAAAAGAGCUGAGAUUGAGAUGGAAGCUGUUAUCGAAGCACAACGUCAACAAUUAAAAAAGUUAAAAAACCAAAGAGACAUCGAGGUCAUGGAAGCUAAACUUAGAGUAUAUACUGAAGAGGAAAUAAAAGAAAAUGGUGAUAGAUCCAGAGCAGUACUUCACGAGAGAACAGAUCCCUGUCCUUCUAUCCUCACUGAGGAAAACAAAUGGAAAUCUAAGUCAGUGUGUAGUGAGAGAACAGAUCCCUGUCCUUCUAUCCCCACUAGUCAUCAUAGUGACGAAGGAAAUGUUGCAGCUAUUGCCCAAGCAAUACAUGAGACAAUGGUUCUUACAAGACUUCCAACUCCUGAACCAACUGUAUUCUCAGGAGACCCAUUGAAGUUCAUAGAGUGGAGUACAAGCUUUGAAGCACUUAUUGCACGUCGCUGCCCCAAUCCAGCAGACAAGUUGUUCUACCUACAGAAGUAUGUUAGUGGAGAAGCAAAGAGGGCUCUUGAAGGUAGCUUCUACAGGAAGGAUGAAGAAGCCUACAAACAAGCAUGGGAGAAGCUAAAUGCACGGUAUGGCCAUCCCUUUGUAGUACAGCGAGCCUUUAGAGAAAGACUUAACAGUUGGCCAAAGAUAGGCUCUAAAGAGUAUGUUAGGCUUAGAGAGUAUGGUGACUUCCUGCAAGCAUGUAACAACGCCAUUCCUCACAUAAAGGGUUUGCAAGUACUGAAUGACUGUGAAGAAAACCAGAAAAUGUUACUUAAGCUGCCUGAUUGGGUGACCUCAAGAUGGAAUCGUCAUGUAACUAAACAGUUAGACCAAGGCAAGGAGUAUCCCAGUUUUGAAGAGUUCUCUUCAUUUGUCAAUUCAGAAGCACGUAUAGCAUGCAAUCCAGUGUCAUCCCUUCACGUUCUGAAACCUUUGGAAGGAAAGCCAACGAGAGAGAUAAAACGUGCAAAGGCAACUUCAUUUGCAGUCGAUACAAUGACUAAAGACCAUGAUAACAAUGAGAGUAAGCCUAAGGUCAUUGAUGUACCGAAUAGAGAGAAAGUACAGACAGAGAGUCACACACCUCUUCAAUGCAUGUUCUGUGGAGAGAAUCACUACAUCUACAAAUGUCAACAAAUGAAGGAAAGGUCUGUAGAGGAGAAGAAAAGAUUCAUACUGGAUAACCAACUCUGUUUUGGUUGCCUAAGAAAGGGACACAGUGCCAAGGACUGUAAAAGAAGAGCCACCUGUGGCAUUUGUAAAGGACGUCACCCAACCCCAUUACAUGAAGAUCGCCCAAAAAGGGAUAAAGCUUCAACACUCAGUACUCUCAUUGAGGGAGAAAUCAUAUCCACACUAUCUUGCUGUAUGGUUAAAAAUGAGAGUAAGAAUACGUCAAUGAUCAUCCCAGUGUGUAUCUCAUCUCCAGGAACAGAAAGCAAGGAGGUACUUGCUUAUGCAUUACUAGACACACAAAGCAGUAACACAUUUAUCGAUCAAGAAGUCUGUGAGAAAUUGCAAGUGGCAAUGGAGCCAGUGAAGCUUAAGCUCUCAACGAUUAUGGGAAAAGACUCAUUGGAAGAUAGUCAAAGAGUCACAGGACUAAAAGUCAAGGGACUUUGCUCAGAUGUCACCAUAGAUCUACCUCCGGUCUAUACAAGAGACUUCAUACCCCUUGAUCGUGAACACAUACCUACCUGUGAAACAGCCCAAAAGUGGAAGCACCUAUCAGUCAUCUCUCAUAAAAUACCCCCUCUGAAGGAGUACCGUGUGGGGCUUCUGAUAGGUUAUGACUGUUCUAAAGCACUGAUGCCACGACAAAUAAUAACAGGAGGUGAUGAUGAACCAUAUGCCAUCAAAACUGAUUUAGGAUGGAGCAUUGUUGGAGGACCACAACAGGCUACAAGCUCAAGACAAGUAACCGGGUUAUGUAAUCGCAUAUCUGUCAAGAUGUCACUAACCCCAAGUCCUGCUACAGUGAUCAAGAUUCUUGAGUCCGACUUUGCAGACACCAGCUCAAAAGAAAAGAGCAUAUCUCAAGAAGAUAUAACAUUCCUACACAUCUUGGAAGGAGGCAUUCAGCUAAACCAACAAGGCCAUCUAGAGAUGCCCUUACCUUUCAAAAAACGCCCUGACCUUCCAUACAAUAAGAAUCUUGCCUUAGUACGACUAAGACGUUUAGAGAGGAAGCUGGGAAGAGAGCCAAAGUUCAAAAGCGACUAUUUCAAGUUUAUGGAAGGCAUCAUACAAGACGGAGAUGCAGAAAGAGCUGACCAUCAACCAGACCUGGGGAAGGUUUGGUACAUUCCACAUCAAGGUGUCUAUCACUCGAAGAAACCAGACAAGAUAAGAGUGGUGUUUGAUUGCUCAGCAAGGUAUGAUGGUGUUGCAUUGAACGAUUAUCUGUUAACGGGACCAGACCUCACGAAUAUGCUAUCUGGAGUUCUCUGUAGAUUUCGGAAAUACCCCAUUGCUGUCAUGUGUGACAUUGAAAAGAUGUUCCACAGGUUUCAUGUGAAAGAGGAAGAUAGAGAUUUCCUGAGGUUCCUAUGGUGGGAGAAUGGAAACACUAAUACAGAGCCUGUGGAAUAUCGCAUGAAAGUUCAUCUGUUUGGAGCAGCAUCAUCCCCAGGUUGUGCCAAUUACGGUAUGAAACACCUUGCCAAACAAUAUGAAAGAAAUUAUCCAUCUGCAGCAAACUUCAUUACAAAAAACUUUUAUGUUGACGAUGGACUUGUUAGCCUGCAAUCUGCUGACUCAGCAAUCAAAUUAGUGAAAGAAACUCAAGAGUUGUGCGCAAAGGGAAAUCUGCGCCAUCACAAGUUCAUCUCAAACAACAGAGAAGUGUUGGAAUCCAUUUGCGAAUCUGAACGAGCAUCAGCAAUGGAAAAUGUAGACCUCAACUACGAUGAUCUUCCAGUCCAGAAUGCACUUGGCCUGAGAUGGGAUGUGGAAAAUGAUGAGUUCUUCUUUAAGGUCUCUAUUGAAGAGAAACCAGCAACAAGACACAAUAUUCUCUCCACGGUAGCUUCUAUUUAUGAUCCAUUGGGAUUCUUAGCCCCAGUGAUCCUCAGAGGAAAGGGAAUACUCCAAGAGCUGUGCAGACAGAAGCUAGGUUGGGAUGACUCUAUACCAGAAGAACUGAGGCCAAGGUGGGAGAGUUGGAUUAAGGAUUUACAAGAUCUGCAAGGAGUCAGAAUACUAAGGUGCUUUGCACCCUAUGACUUUGGAAAGUAUGAGAGAAUCGAACUGCAUCACUUCUCAGACGCUAGCAGUUACGGUUAUGGCCAAUGUUCCUACAUCAGGGUGAUAAGAGAUGAAAAGGUACAUUGCUCCCUUGUCAUGGCCAAGACCAGAGUUGCACCUACCAAUGUUCUCACAAUACCAAGACUGGAACUAGCAGCUGCUGUAGUUUCUGCUUCAGUGAGCAAGUUCCUGAGAGACGAAUUAGAGUUCAAGGUAGAUGAAGAGUACUUUUGGACAGACUCACAGGUGGUUCUAGGCUACAUAAAUAAUGAAGCUCGAAGAUUUCAUGUCUUUGUGGCGAACAGAGUUCAAAGAAUUAGAGAAAUUACUGAUCCAGACCGGUGGUACUACAUUGAGUCAGAAAGGAAUCCAGCUGAUCAUGCUUCAAGAGGUCUUAAAGUUUCAGAAAUGAAGGACUCAAAUUGGUUUACAGGCCCAAAGUUACUAUGGGAAAGGGAAAUAGUACCCAACAAAGAUUGCCUAGAACUAUCCAUGUGCGAUCCUGAAGUGAAGGUCAUUCAAGCCUUAAAAACAAUAACCAAGUGCCAGGACGAUAUGCUCGAAAGACUAUCACGAUUCUCCAAGUGGACUACAGUAGUAAAUGUAGUUGCUCGAAUUCAGCGUCUGGCAAGUCGAACUAGGAAGAUUGAACCCUUGAACGUUGAAGAAAGAAUGAAAGCUGAGGACACAGUUAUAAAACUCAUUCAUCAGAGAUUUUACAAAGAGGAAUUAAAGAUGCUCAGUCAAGAACCUGGAAGGCUUCCCAACAACCACCCUUUGCAUCAACUUAAUCUUAUCCUACAGGAUGGUAUAAUAAGAGUAGGAGGAAGAUUGGAAAAUGCACCUUUACCUUUCAGAGUGAAGCAUCCAGUGAUUCUUCCCAAGGAUUCUACCCUUACAAGCCUGAUAAUUGAUCAUCAUCACACAAGGUCCUCACAUCAAGGCAGAGGUCUAACCUUGAGCUACUUGAGAGAUGGCGGUUACUGGAUUGUGAAUGGCAGUAAAACUGUAGCUAAACACAUAAAACAGUGUAUACUGUGUCGGAAGACUCGAAGACCGACAGAAGACCAAAGAAUGGCAAAUUUACCCAUUGAUCGUGUAGAACCAUCGCCUCCCUUCUCUUAUUGUGGCAUGGAUUGUUUUGGUCCAUUCUACACCAAGCAAGAUCGUAAGGAGCACAAAAGAUAUGGUCUACUUUUCACGUGUCUAAGCUCCAGAGCAAUCCACAUAGAGAUGUUGGAGAAUAUGUCAACUGAUGUGUUCAUCAAUGCCCUUCGAUGCUUCAUAGCCAUUAGAGGCACCGUAAGAAAAAUCAGAUCUGACCAAGGUUCUAACUUCGUUGGAGCUAAGAAUGAGUUGAGAAAAGCUUUAGAAGAAGUAGAUAAAGAAAGGAUAGCCAUGUUUCUGGCAGAGAGACAAUGUGACUUUUGUAUGAAUGUUCCAGAUGCAAGCCAUACAGGAGGCGUUUGGGAGCGUCAGAUAAGAACUGUAAGGAAUGUUCUGAGUUCAGUACUGAAGCAGAGUGCUGGAAGAAUAGACGAUGCUUCUCUGAGAACUGUAUUUUAUGAAGCUAUGUCCAUUGUGAACAGUCGUCCACUGACAGUUGAUAAUAUCAAUGACCCAACAAGUUUAGAUCCCCUGACUCCAAAUCAUCUGCUUCACCUAAAGUCCACUCCCAUACAGCCACCACCCGGCAAGUUCCUUGAGGAAGAUUUGUAUGCCAGAAAGAGAUGGCGGCGUGUGCAAUAUUUGACCGAACAGUUUUGGAACAGAUGGAGGAAGGAGUACCUAGCUAAUCUCACUCUCAGACAAAAAUGGCAUACUCCUAGGAGAAAUAUUCAAAUAAAUGACAUAGUGAUCGUCAAAGAAGAGGAUAUACCCAGAAAUCGAUGGAGAAUCGCUAAAGUUCUUGAAGUCCAGAAAGACAAUGAUGGAUUGGUGAGAAGAGUGAAAUUACAGAUGGGAGAUUCCAAAUUAAGUAAGAAAGGAGAACGUCUCACCACUCCACUCAUUCUAGAACGUCCUAUCCAAAAAUUGGUUGUUCUUAUCGAGAAUAAUAAAGAACAUUCUCAAAUGCAUAACAAGAAGGAAGAAGUAAAAUCCCCUUAAUUUAUGCAACCAAACUUAAAAAUGAAUGCAUAAAUUAAAGGUAAUUUGGUGGGAGUGUAGCUGCCCGCCCAAGCCAAUCUAACAUUUGAACUGCAUAAUUCAUUGUGACUGCUAAUAUAAGAGAAGUUUAUAGCAACUUAGCGCUAGUUUGCAGUACAGAACAAUAUAUACCUCUAUAUGCUCUGUUGUAUGGCAAGCAGAAAAGUUAUUCCUGCUGUUAAAGUUUAUUUGUGUGUAAAGUAACAGCCAGCAGCUAUAAUAUAGCCAGCUAAGCACAAGACAUUACAGGGUUAAUUUGAGUACUCCAGACACCUGACAGUCUAGUCCAAUCAGAACCCAGCCUCACUCUGAGAUCUUCUAGAAUCUAGCCAGACAUGCCAGCAGCCAUCUUAGAGACAGAAUCUUCAGAGAGCAUGCCAGAGUAAAGAAACUGCCCUUAAGAUUCUAUGAGGCGAAAAUAGUUCUACCACAUUCUACACAUUCUACGUGUACUUACUGCACUUAUAUCGCACCAAUAUUGCUAAAACUCAUCAUCUUUGUUCCUGAUUCCCUAUCCUGAUGAUGUUACCAAUAAAGAAAGUUAUUUUUGUA